GAUCUUCUUUCCGCCACUGAUGCAUAUAGUUUUUGGCUCUCUGUAUUAAAGAGUACGUCACAGGGGAAGUGGAUUGCAACCCAUUGCCAGCAACCCAUUGGCCAGCGGCAAACCCUUAAAUGGAGCUCAGUACCGCAGCGGAUUAGUCCUUAGCCUGCCGAAUUGGGGGAUACCGUGGGAAACCAAAAAAAAAUGUCUCAUUGUCAACUCUGGAGAUCAAUUUGUGGUCAACAAUUACUUUAUUAUUUAAUUAAUUCUUUCUUUUAUAGCUUAACCUCACAUUAAUUCAUUAUUAAUAUCGUGUGAUAGGUUUUGAGUUAUGGGAGAUACGAAAAACUGAUGCAUAGAUUAUUACUUAUUACUUAACAACCGUGAAAUCAAGAUUAACCUUGUGCUUAUAAAUGGUGUAAGACCCAGAACUUUUGAAAAGUCUUA